UCGAAUGUCAAUUUGGUAUUAUCAGCGGUGCAACCCUGUCGAAAUUCUCGUUGUACUAUAUACCGAAUUUAGAGUCGAAUGCAAUUUUGCUUUCGAUUGUGUAGCGUAUUGUGGGAAAAAUUGUUAAAAUGUCGAAAGUCGUACCAAAUAGCAACUAGAAAGACUGGUUGCAUUAAUGGAAGAGAACCCACAAUUCGCAAAAGGGAGUUGCACUAAAGUUCAAGCAGCAAAAAAAAUGAUGGGAGUUUAUAACGGAGCUGAAUUGCUUGGGACCACCAGUUUGAACUGUAGCAAAAUGGAUUAAGGUAUGGGCUGACAUGAAGUCAAAAGCGAAGAAAAAAAUGUCGCAAAACAAAGCUGAACUCCGAGCAACACUUAGGGGCCCUAACAAACUUCAGGGAUUUUCAAAUAGCGAAGAAAAGUAUAAUCGGUUUACUGCAUCUUGAUGCCUGCAUAAAUCCGCCUGGGGUGGAAUUUGGCCUGGAUACAAGUAGCAGUGACCAGUUCACAGUUUUGUGCCCGUCAAAUCCCAGCCUAGAACUUCUGGUCCAAAACUCUGAGGAAAGUGAAGCGGAAUUAAAUUUAAAGCUUCACGAGGAAUCAGCAGGAAAAACGAGGACAAAUAAAAAGUCUCAAAAGGCAGAGAGAUUGAGGUUAAUGGAGUUGCAGACUGAUGGCCAAGAACGAUUCAAUGAAGAAAUAAUUUCUACCUUGCAAUGUGCUGCAGAAACAGCGGAAUAUACUGUUACACUAAUCUUUCAUCGUCCGAUGAAUCGUCGAACCACAACUCCGUUGUACUAAUUUUCACAAAAAGUACUUUUUUUAACUUUUAAAAAUGUUGUAAACAAAGAAUUUCAAUACAAUCACUUUUAUUUUGAUUUGCUGUAUCAGCUGAGAAAAAAUUAUCUAUUAUAAAUGCGUCGAGCUAUCGAAAUUUACAAUAGUCCUGUUCUUCCGCGAAUGAGCACCAUAAUACCAAAUGAAAAUUCGUUCGAUCGUGUUGAUCGAACUACUGUCGAAGAUCGAAUGUUGCUCAUAAUAAGGGUCAAUAAUGGAAGAAAACGAAUCGAAAUAGAGAA